CUAAAGUCUUCGGGGAGCCGGAAAGACCGGCUGAGAGUGGGCGUGUGCGCCCUGACCCGUGAACCUGAUACGGCUAAUACCGUCGGAGGGAAAGAUGCAUAUAUGGGA
rfam:Firmicutes bacterium CAG:110_56_8 Ley3_66761_scaffold_7931, whole genome shotgun sequence.